ACGGGAGGCAGCAGUGGGGGAUAUUGCACAAUGGGCGCAAGCCUGAUGCAGCAACGCCGCGUGAGGGAAGACGGUUUUCGGAUUGUAAACCUCUGUUUUUGGUGAAGAUAAUGACGGUAGCCAAGGAGGAAGCCACGGCUAACUACGUGCCAGCAGCCGCGGUAAUACGUAGGUGGCAAGCGUUGUCCGGAAUUACUGGGUGUAAAGGGAGCGCAGGCGGGACGGCAAGUUGGAUGUGAAAUACCGCAGCUUAACUGCGGAGCUGCAUCCAAAACUGUCGUUCUUGAGUGGAGUAGAGGCAGGCGGAAUUCCGAGUGUAGCGGUGAAAUGCGUAGAUAUUCGGAGGAACACCAGUGGCGAAGGCGGCCUGCUGGGCUCUAACUGACGCUGAGGCUCGAAAGUGUGGGGAGCAAACAGGAUUAGAUACCCUGGUA
rnacentral:rRNA from 2 species